rnacentral:rRNA from 1 species
UACGUAGGGUGCGAGCGUUGUCCGGAAUUAUUGGGCGUAAAGAGCUCGUAGGCGGUCUGUCGCGUCGAAUGUGAAAACCCGGGGCUCAACUCCGGGCUUGCAUUCGAUACGGGCAGGCUAGAGUUCGGCAGGGGAGACUGGAAUUCCUGGUGUAGCGGUGAAAUGCGCAGAUAUCAGGAGGAACACCGGUGGCGAAGGCGGGUCUCUGGGCCGAUACUGACGCUGAGGAGCGAAAGCGUGGGGAGCGAACAGG